AUAGCUAUUACUUUGUGAGGAGCAAGGAGGGGAAGAUCUUGACUACUAUUACAACUAUAAUUCAUAUCAACAAUGGCUUCCGCAGGUAUGAAUUCGUUUCUAUUAAUUUAUUAAAUGGUGAUUCUUGAUUCUUAGCAUGAUUAUAAAUAAAUAUUAACAAUUGGUAUCAGAGCCUCAUGCUGAGAUCAUAAUCCCUAGUAAAACAAUAUUCUGUUGAUUUCAGGGUUUUAUUUUUUCAUUAUUUUUCAUCUGAUUUUUCAGUUCAAUUAAUUUUCGUUGCCUGCACUUUUUUUUCUUUUCCCCGGAUUACAGAAGAGAAUCAUGCUUCUUUAUGAUUUAGCUAACAAAAGAGCUAUAAUACAUAACAAUAUAUAUCUGUUAAGGUCUCUGUGCUCAUCAAGAAAUCAAAUUCAUAUAAAUAGUCAUAGUUCAGAAUAAUGUUUGGCAAGAAAGUAAUUACUCGACAUUUAAAAAGAGAGAGCGAUGGUGGAUGAAGAACCAAGAGCUUUUCUUAGCGUUAAGCUCAUCUUGGCUCAAGAUAUAGACAGAGCCACUAUGAAUCUCAAUGGCUACAGAAGGAGAUAUCAGGCCAUCUUAUGGGUAUGUCGUGGGGACGAAUAUAUUACAGAUAUCGCAUUAGGGUUACCCAAUCCCUGUUGGAAUUGCAUUAGCCACUUUCCUGUAGGGAUUUAUGAAUCCUAUUUUUGCAUGUCGAGGUAUAUAGAAUUGGAUCCAAAUCAGAUCCUGGAACUUCCAAUGGAAUUGUUUUGGUUGGAAAAAACUCGAAUUCCUGUGCCUAAACUUGAUCAUAAAAUUUGUGGCAGCUAUGUACUUGUUAAACCAACCUAUGAUGCUAAACGUUUUUCAUAUUAAAAAAAAAAAAAAUUCUGAAGUUUUUUCUAAAUCUGAUCGGUUGUUUGGGGACGGGGGCAUGG
rnacentral:lncRNA from 1 species